CCUACGGGUGGCAGCAGUGAGGAAUAUUGCACAAUGGUGGGAACACUGAUGCAGCGACGCCGCGUGAGUGAAGAAGUAAUUCGUUACGUAAAGCUCUAUCAGCAGGGAAGAAAAUGACGGUACCUGAGUAAGAAGCCCCGUCUAACUACGUGCCAGCAGCCGCGGUAAUUCGUAGGGGGCAAUCGUUAUCCGGAUUAUCUGGGUGUAAAGGGAGCGUAGACGGUUCGGCAAGUCCGGAGAGAAAAGCCGGAGGCUAAAGGUGGCACCGCUUUGGAAACUGGCGAACUAGAGUGCGGGAGAGGUAAGCGGAAGUCGUAGUGUAGCGGUGAAAUGCGUAGAUAUUAGGAAGAACACCGGUGGCGAAGGCGGCAUACUGGACCGCAACUGACGUUGAGGCUCGAAAGCGUGGGGAGCAAACAGGAGUAGAUACCCGAGUAGUC
rnacentral:rRNA from 1 species